rnacentral:lncRNA from 10 species
AGUUGUCUUUCAUUUCUUAGGACAGAUCAUACUAUGUCCUUCUUCAGGGCCUCUAGAUAGGGUCUUGCUAUGUUGCAUAGGCUGAUCUCUUGAACUCCUCUGCCUCUCAAAGUGCUGAGAUUACAGAUGCUGUUGCUAAACAACACUUCCAUCAGAGGGCAAGCAGAGAGAGAUACACCAUUCCUUUUAAAGGUAUCUUUCCCAAUCUGCAGAGCUACAGAAAUGCCAGCUUCUAAAAUGUUAACUUAUAUUGUUUCUGCUUGAAGUUGUGGCCAGUGCUCUAGGUUCCAGGCACAGAGAUCCUAAAACCCUGGAAAUUUCCUGAUAGGUUCAAGAUUCAAAGAGCUUCCAGGCUGGUGGGCAUAUCAAGGUGCUGGGAGGGUGGAAUGAAGAAGACAUGGAAGCUCUGAGCAC